AAACUAACAAGGAUUCCCCUAGUAGCGGCGAGCGAAGCGGGAAGAGCUCAAAUUUAUAAUCUGGCACCUUCGGUGUCCGAGUUGUAAUCUCUAGAAAUGUUUUCCGCGUUGGACCGCACACAAGUCUGUUGGAAUACAGCGGCAUAGUGGUGAGACCCCCGUAUAUGGUGCGGACGCCCAGCGCUUUGUGAUACAUUUUCGAAGAGUCGAGUUGUUUGGGAAUGCAGCUCAAAUUGGGUGGUAAAUUCCAUCUAAAGCUAAAUAUUGGCGAGAGACCGAUAGCGAACAAGUACCGUGAGGGAAAGAUGAAAAGCACUUUGGAAAGAGAGUUAACAGUACGUGAAAUUGUUGGAAGGGAAACGCUUGAAGUCAGACUUGCUUGCCGAGCAAUCGGUUUGCAGGCCAGCAUCAGUUUUCCGGGAUGGAUAAUGGUAGAGAGAAGGUAGCAGUUUCGGCUGUGUUAUAGCUCUCUGCUGGAUACAUCUUGGGGGACUGAGGAACGCAGUGUGCCUUUGGCGGGGGUUUCGACC
rnacentral:rRNA from 1 species